GAGACUAUUGCCAUAUUAUCAUUUUUCUUUUACAAGAAAUGAAUUUGAAUGAUUAAUCUUACUAUUACUGACACAAUUUUCCUCGUAAGUUAUGGUUUUAGACAAUUAAUCUUUGCUAUUUUAGCUUAAAGCUUUGUUUAAAAAAUUAAUCUUACCUCAUUGCUUGCGCAGUUUUUCAAGGGCACAUGCAUGAAUGAAUUAAUGAAGGGAAUUUUGGUGAUAACAAAACUUGCCCAUGACAAGCUAAGUUUUACAAAAUAUGGAACUUGGAAUCUCCAAAAUAAGCUCAAAUGAAAAUAAUUGUUUCCCUUGUAAGUUAAGAUUCAUGCACGUAUAUAUACCACAGAAAGAUAUAUGCCAAAUAUGAACAGUGAUAUAGAAUUUUUAUACUUUGCCUUGCUCGAUUGCUCGUCGGUUUGAGAAAGACGACGAAAGAAAGUAAGGGAAAGUCUACUAUGCCCCUUUAAACUUUGCUAUCAUGAAUUUUCUUUUCGUCAAUGUUUAAUUUUUUUUUUCUCUCUUUUGGCAAAUCCAUCAAGGGAAAAUUUAUGUCUUGAGGCUAUCACCAAAAAACAAAUGAUGUGAGCUAAGAAGGAAAGAAAGAGGAUUGUGAUGAUAUAUAUGUAUCUUGUAAUGUUGCUUUUGUUGAUUAUCUUUGUUGCUGGCAAAGGUUGGCAAUAAAAUGUGAUUUUGAAACUAACUGUUUCAAAAUCAUUUUCCAAUUACUUUUUUGGCCACAAUCGAUAUUUUUGAAAACGAUAUUUCUUUUGUUUGAUUCUUGGAAAAUUGAAAAUGAGAAUUUAAUAUAUAUAUGAUAAUGAUAAUAAUGAUGGCGAUGAUGAUCAGGCUAAUUAUAUAUUUCUAGUAAAAGUUUUUUAUAUUUGAAUAUAAAUUAAAAGGUCUAAAUUCCAGGAAGAAAGACAAAAUUAAUAACAAUGUGUAUAGAUAGGGGUGUUCAUUCAGUUGAUUUGGUUAUUUUCGAAUCGAAUUAUCUAAAAUCAAAUUAAUCAAAUUAUAUUAUUUUAUUUUUAUUAAUCGAACGUAAUUUGUGAAUUGAUCGAAUUUAAUUUGAUAAAUUUGAUUAAUUUUUUUGAUUAAUUGAAUAAUAACUAUAUUUAAAUUAAAUUAUAUUUUAAAUUCUUAAUUUUUUAAUUUUAAACAAACUAAAUAAAAUAUUCAAAUACUAAAGUAUUAUGUUAAAAAUUAUAACAAGUUAUAAAAUUAAAUUAUCUAUUUCAUAUAUUUUUUCUUUUUUAUUUUGAUUAUGUUAUAUUUUGAUUAAUUCGGUUUUCGAAUCGAAUUAACCAAAAAUUAAAAUUUUUUUAAAAUCAUUUUCCUUAAUCAAUUGAAAUUAAUUUGAUAAUCGAUCGAUUAACCGAAAUAAAUUAAUUUGAUCGGUUAAUUUAGUUAAAAUCGAAUUAUGAACAUCCCUAUGUAUAGAUAAUAACUAUAUUAUUCAAAUCAAUAUAUUUUUGAAAGAUAAUUGUUCUUAUGAUUAUCAUAAAGCACGACGGCGUUCAAAUUAAGAAAAAGAGAAUUUAUAUCAAAAUAUUAAUAGCAACAAAAUAAAGCUAAAUAUUGCUAUUUAUGAGAAUUGUAAAGAUCAAUCAAAAUAUUAUUUACCAUAUUUAUAAGUUUAGAUCAUUUUAAAAUUUUAUUAAUAAAAUCAUAAGUGAUAUGCUAUCGUGAUAAUUCAUACUCUGUACCAAAAAAUGUUGCAUGCUUAAUUAAGUCUAAAUCAAGUAGGAGAAAUUGUAUUUACUAAAAUUAGAAAAAAUUUCAAUAAUUUUUCGGUUUGCUGUCUUAGAAGGAAAUCAACAAGUUUUAGGAAAACUCCUGCUUUUUUUUUUUUUUUAUUAAGUUUAGAAAAAGCUUUUAAAUAAAAAUUAAAUAAUUAUCUAAACUUCUAUAAUUUUAUUGUUAUAAAUUGAGCGCUUAAAUAUUUAUUGUUAUUCAAUUAAGUCUUUAAACAUUUAUUUUCACCCAAUUGAAUUUUUAAAUAUUUAUUUUCACCCAAUUUAACAUUUGUUAGGUAAAAAUGAGAGCUUGCAAUUAAGUACAAAACGUACAUGAAGUCCUUUAGAUAAAGUUUGUGAAUUUUUUUUUAAAAAAUAAUUUACUAAAAACUUUAAUAAAAUAUUCAAACGGGU
rnacentral:lncRNA from 1 species